rnacentral:misc_RNA from 1 species
UACGUAGGGUGCAAGCGUUAUCCGGAAUUAUUGGGCGUAAAGAGCUCGUAGGCGGUCUGUCGCGUCUGCUGUGAAAACCGGAGGCUCAACCUCCGGCCUGCAGUGGGUACGGGCAGACUCGAGUGCGGUAGGGGAGACUGGAAUUCCUGGUGUAGCGGUGGAAUGCGCAGAUAUCAGGAGGAACACCGAUGGCGAAGGCAGGUCUCUGGACCGUAACUGACGCUGAGGAGCGAAAGCGUGGGGAGCGAACAGG